rnacentral:rRNA from 1 species
UACAGAGGGUGCUAGCGUUGUUCGGAAUUACUGGGCGUAAAGGGCGCGUAGGCGGCUUGAUAAGUGAGAUGUGAAAUCUCGGGGCUUAACUCCGAAAGUGCAUUUCAAACUGUCAGGCUAGAGUGCAGUAGAGGUUGGUGGAAUUCCCAGUGUAGAGGUGAAAUUCGUAGAUAUUGGGAGGAACACCGGUGGCGAAGGCGGCCAACUGGGCUGCAACUGACGCUGAGGCGCGAAAGCGUGGGGAGUCAAACAGG